CAGCCACUGCUCUCCCUUUCUGUGCCUUUCUAAAAGGUUAGACUCUAACCUUGUUUAAAGUGCUUCACCAUGAAACCUGAUUAAAAACCUAAUAAAAUUAAAAAUGGGGUCAUGUCCAGAGAGAGAACUGUUUAGAAACCAGAGGAAGCGCUACUUAAUUUUGUUAAGCUGAUUAAUUCAUUCGCGGCCCUGCAGAGGUCAGGGGCUCGGAGACCAAGACUGCCCCUGAGAACCGGACGCUGCCAUGUGGGGGGCCCAGCACUGGGCCUGCCUCCCAGUUCUCCGCCCAGGCCUGGUCCACGUACCUGCCCAGCAUGGCUGCAUCUCCAAAAUGUGUCCUUCUGCACAGAAAAUAGGCACUUAUCCUCCAGAACACGCCAGACCCUCCGUGUAGGUAGCCUUGAUGCCAACUUGCCAGACAAAAACUCAAGCACCUGUCCCCACUUAUCUGAUUUGGUGAUUCAUGCUAUUUGAAGUGCCAAAUUGAGAAUCUUUACAAACCCUUUACAAUUUUAGCUCGGGGCCCUACCUUCACGCUAACCACACUCCAAAUGAGAGGGUUGCAGGGAGCCUGUCAGAGCAGACACUUUGUCACCCACGAUGUGUCCUCAGGUCAGCACUGCCAGGGAAAGCCCAGUUUGGAAUGGAGGUUUCCUGAAUGCUUACAGGUACACCCCACUUUUCAUAAGUUCAGGUUACACUAGUUUGCCUUCACGGAAGACCCACAUCAGUAUGGGCUGUCACUAAUCGAGAAAAAUCAAAAGGGGUUUCUUUUUGCAAGAAAAAGAGAGAGCGUCCUACCUUGAGCUUUGCAUGUGUCUUUUUAAAGUCACUUAUGCUUGAGCGGUGGCACCUCCCCACCCCGAAGUUGCUCUGCACAGCCAUGUCCCUGUCACUGUAGUUUUAGGCGUUAUUUGGGGGUCUGAUAAUUGCUACCAUUUCAGCUGAGGAAGCUCUCACAGGAACACAGCAAAGAGCACAAGAAACCUGUAGAGCAAUAGCUCUUAAAGUCUAGGCCCUGUACCAGCCACAUCACCUGGGAAUCCUCCACUCCCCCAGUCCAUGCUGGAUCAGAAAUUUGGGAUAAGACCUGACAAUCUGCUUUAAAAAAAAAAAAAGCCUCUAGGGAGUUGGAAGUGCCCCCAGUGGAGAACUGAGGCCAGUUCCAAAGAAGUAAAUCCCUCCGUGUUCUGGGUUGACAGCCUCACCCUGCCCUUCUUCACCUGAACUGACAAGCCCAGAAGGAAGGUCUGUCUCUUUGUCCCUCACCACAGGCCACCGCGUAAGUGAUCUGCCACCUAUUUAAAGGCUCUGAUUUGUAUUCAUUGCUGAUGGAGCUGUGUUCGUGUAAGGAACUCCUUUUCUUAAAAUGCAGGCUGGGGUGUGCAGCCAUGUGCUGGAGCAAUCCAGGGGCCUUUCCUGGGCCACAGGAGAGCGAGCACGCAGCCCAGGCACCGUCUCAGCAGUUAGAAGCCUCUUGUGAUUGGCAGCUAACUUGGGGACGCCCUGCCUCUAAGACAACACACUGAAGUGUUUUGUUACUCUUGUAUCUUGCAGUAUGCUUGCAUUUUUGAUGGCAGGGAGAGAGGUGGGCAUUCUUGUUUGAUUUUGCAUGUCAUUGCACAUUGCAGUAGGCCCCCAAAAGCCUUCACAUGCUCCUUGACCACCACCAAGACCACUGUCAGCACCCCACACCUGUCUCAUAGUAGGUACUGGCCACUGUUAAGACAGUACGGUGAUGUGAGGGUUUCUAUUCAGAAGCCCCCACACACACACCUCGACUACAUCUCACCUACUACAGUGAGACUGGGGAAAGUAUGCUCUCACUUUGCCAAAAUUCCAGGAAGAGUCCACAGGCCUCCCAGACAGAGCCAAAGGCAAAGCUUUCAUUCACCAUGUUGUUGAUUUUUGAUGGAAUUUGAAAAAGGCAAUAAAAAUCUGUUCCACCAUACCCUCUGUCCCCUAAAAAAAAAAAAAAGCCCAAAGCAUUUCACAGGGCCAAAAAGAGUUUGAAGUGACUAUUUUGAAAGGCACUGGAAAAGUGGAUAAAAAUAAGCAUAAAAAUAAUGCUGAAUUCCAGCUGCCUGGAGUACUGGUUCCUCUCGGGGGACUGAGGUCACCAGCCUGAUUUCCAAGUGGCAGGAGACCCAAGACUGAGGAAUCUGGGGUCCAGGGCAGGGGCCCUGCCAUCUGCCUUGGAAAGACAGGUGCCCAGGCCUUGUCGCAUCAUGAUGUCCUGUUUUACUGAGAUGCAGAGACUCUGGAAGGGCGAGCUAGCCUGUCCCGCUAUGGUCUUCCUGCUCCAGAACAGAGACGGGGCCCCCACAACCUUGUUGGCCUGUGCCAUCUCGUUUAGGCAAAGAGCAGCCUGGAAGGGAAGCAGCGUCCUCAUUCCCAUUUUCAGGUGAGGGACGGGCUUGGAGAGGUCAAGAACCUUUCCCUUAACCCCAGACCCCUUAGUCUCGGGGUCUCCCUGCCUCUGUCCUUCUGCCACCUGGAAAUCAGGCUGGUGACCUCAGUCCCCCAAGAGGAACCAGUAUUCCAGGCAGCUGGAGGAUAUGUCAGCACUAGGUUUUACUGUUUAUUUGUAUCCAUUUUUCCAAUGCCCUUUAAAGCAGUCACUCCAGAAAGGUCACAUAGCUGCUGAAGGCACUGCCAGGCCCUGACCUCUGCUUCCACCCCUGCUCUGUACCUUCCUCCUCCUAGGCCACCUGCCUUCAAACCUUCUACACAGCUUCAAUUCGAAACACUGGCGUUUGGGCAAGAAAGCUUUGCAAGUGCCAAAAAAGCAGCCCUGCCCUCCCGGAGUUAAUAGGCGAGGCUGUUCCCUGGGGGCCGACUCAAAGGCAGAGUCACAGCCGCAUGUAUAAUUGACUCCAGGUCCGAAACUCAGUUAAUUCUCUUCUAUCUUUGGCUUUGCUGUUUCUUUUUGUACCUUGCCUAGAGGAAUGACCAGCAACCUUUAUAGACAGGAAACAAAUAGCAGGAAGAGAAACCACUGUUCAAAGAACCAUCCUCUCGAAAAUCCAAAGGAUACAGACAUGCAGAACCGAAGGUCCCUUAGAAUCCUGUCCCCAGAGGAAGCUGAAAGGUCAAGUCCAGACCUGUCAUUACACAGACAAUAAAGGCCAGAGGUGAGGGCUCGCACGAGAGAAGAAUGCCCUCCAUGAGCUCGUGGUCACAGGAGGGCUCCUGCUGCUCGAGACAUCUCCUCCACACUCCGAGAAGAAGGGGAGCAGAGGGACCAACUUCCCAGAAACUUCCGCCUCCGCUCCACUUACAACAAUCACUCGGUGCCCUGGCAGUGGAGGAACUGAUAAAAGGACAGCACUUUUGACACCUGACCAGCUCCAGUCAAAUCCAGCCCUUGGAACAUCCCACUCAAGGAUCAAAUUCCAGGGAUCUGGUCUCAUUGCCCCAGGAGGUGGUGAGGUGCUUGGGGAAGCAACUGUGUGUUCGCUGAUGGCCAGAUGUGUCCAUUGCCUCCAAGGCAAGGUCAAGGCACCAUCUUCUGAAGGUGAAUGGAGCAGCCAGAGGGAACGAAGUUCAAUGGACAUGAACAGGAGAAACACCCGCACUGCCUUAAAGUGUGCCAAGAAUUCAAAGCAUGAUGUCUAGCAUGUACUCACCUGUUUACUCCUGCCUAAGCUGUCAGGAAAAGGCAGAGUGUCCCUUCACAAGCCCCCAGGGGAUAUAGCCACAGUCCUACAUCCCAAAACCCCACUGGUGCCAACACCUUGUCUCAAAGACUGGAUGAGAUCUGGCUGGCCCAGGAGUCUGGGGAGAACCCACAUGUGGCACAGCCCUGGUCUGCCAUGGUCUGGCACUACCCUCUGCCCAGUCUUUAUGUAACUGCACAAUAAAUUUAGUGUUUUGAA